UAACCCUUUACUCUUCCUCCACAUUUCCGUCUCCCUCCUCUACACCAGCCUCUCUCUCUUACCUUCGUUCUCACCAUUUUCGUUCUAUCAGAAAAGAAACCAGAACAACCAGCUCCUUCUCUACCCUUCCCUAUUCUUCUUCUUUGUCUUCAGUGUCUUUCUCAUUAUAGGGACGAUCGUGGCCGACUGGAUUUGACAGCCAUAGUCGGAGACAGAAGCUCUGAAAUGUCGCCAUUAUUUGGAUUUUAGACAUAGAUUCGCAUUUCUGCAGAGCCUAGGAACUGAAAUCGGGAAGCUUUUUCCGUCUCAUGCGACAGGGAAACCAGAUUUAGGAAAUCGAAAACUCGCUUGUUUAUUUUCUUCGGUUGCGGUAGUUCCAGAAGGAAUUGAUUGUUCCUCAAGUGUAAGUUUACGGUGAGAGACAUUGAUUUUCAUUCCCCUUUUCUGUAUUUACAACUUCUUCUUUCACCUCCUUGUUCGAUUUUUUCACAUUGUCUUGGUUUCAGAAUUGGGGGAAAACAAUUCGAACUUGGAGGCUCCGAUUUUCAAUGUAAAACUGGAUUACCAAAAAUGUUUCAAUAAUAUCUGCACCUCCCUCAUUUGUUUGCCAUCGUCCAUCUUUCGAUGCUGACUCAGUGAAGGACUAAUAUCAAGUAUUUAAGAAUUAGCUGUGAUUACUCUUUACCUGUGGUGUUUGUUAUAUUUUCUUAUCUUUUGUGUAGCCAGUUAAUUGAUCAACAUAGUUAAUGAUAUUUUAGAUAUGAUGAUAUUUUAACCUUUCUUCUUCAUCUUGGUGUCCCAUUUUAAUCUCUUUAUUUUUUAGGAAGAAUUGAUUGACUGAGAUUGGGAAUAAGGAGAAGCUGAAUGUUUUAGGAGUGUUCUAUUCGUAUUGUGUUAUUUUUUUUCAGUUUUUUUCAGUUCCUGACUCUCAAGCUGUGAAUUCUUAAGUUGUGUGAAUUUGUAGUUCAGUUUCAGUUUUGCUUAAUUAUUUGCAACUUCUGUUUAUUUCUCAAAUUAUAUUCUAAAUUUAUAUUCUAAAUUUUGUUGAUGGCUAUGAUCCAUGGAUUCUUCAAAAUUAAGGAUGUAUUGUAUUGCACUCGUAUCUUUCAAAGAGUAUUUGAGCCAAGGGAAUUGGAGUUUUUGGGUUUGACCGAUAGUGAGCAGAAUGCCAUGAAUGGGAUAAGUUUUCUUCUCUCUUUUACCUAAUUAUGAAUCAAAGCUUUGUAGCUCUAAUUGCAUGUAACAUAGCUCCUUAGAAGGGCUAAUAGUUGGAUUAAUUUCUGCUUUAUAAAUUUAGUUUCUUGACGUUUUUGGUGCUUGGAAGAAUGUGUUUAUACAUGAGAAGUGGCAACUGAAGCCUAAGGAUUUUGCAUUCUUAGGUGGUAAGGUCCUAAACCUUUAGAUAACCGUUGAACAAAAUUGUGGCUAGCCAUUGAUUUGAAGUCCUAUCUCUAGUCUUAUGCUUCUGUUUGGGAGAUUGAUAAACUUAGAAAGGUGGUCCAAAAGUAGCAUGUGCUGGUUGUGCUGGCUUUGCGACAUUCUCAGUCAUUAUAGAGAAGUUCUUAGACAGACAUGAGUAGCUACCUAUUGAAUUGAAGUCACCCAAUUUUGCAUUCAUUAGGCAUAGCAUGGAUUUUCAUAGUGAUAAUCUUUUGCCCAUUUGCUAAAGGGCGCACACAAAAUUGUAGUAUUUUAUUUUACAUCGAUUAUUGCUUAUUUGUAUACAAUAUCAAUUGGUGGAUGCAUUCCUCCAAUUCCAAACUAGAUGUAAGUAUGCUCUUAAGUAUUAAUGUAAAGUUUAUUAUGU